rnacentral:rRNA from 1 species
GAUGAACGCUGGCGGCGUGCCUAAUACAUGCAAGUCGAGCGAACAGACGAGGAGCUUGCUCCUCUGACGUUAGCGUCGGACGGGUGAGUAACACGUGGAUAACCUACCUAUAAGACUGGGAUAACUUCGGGAAACCGGAGCUAAUACCGGAUAAUAUAUUGAACCGCAUGGUUCAAUAGUGAAAGACGGUUUUGCUGUCACUUAUAGAUGGAUCCGCGCCGCAUUAGCUAGUUGGUAAGGUAACGGCUUACCAAGGCAACGAUGCGUAGCCGACCUGAGAGGGUGAUCGGCCACACUGGAACUGAGACACGGUCCAGACUCCUACGGGAGGCAGCAGUAGGGAAUCUUCCGCAAUGGGCGAAAGCUUGACGGAGCAACGCCGCGUGAGUGAUGAAGGUCUUCGGAUCGUAAAACUCUGUUAUUAGGGAAGAACAAAUGUGUAAGUAACUAUGCAAGUAUUGACGGUACCUAAUCAGAAAGCCACGGCUAACUACGUG